GCUGACGAGUGGCGGACGGGUGAGUAAUGUCUGGGAAACUGCCUGAUGGAGGGGGAUAACUACUGGAAACGGUAGCUAAUACCGCAUAACGUCGCAAGACCAAAGAGGGGGACCUUCGGGCCUCUUGCCAUCGGAUGUGCCCAGAUGGGAUUAGCUAGUAGGUGGGGUAACGGCUCACCUAGGCGACGAUCCCUAGCUGGUCUGAGAGGAUGACCAGCCACACUGGAACUGAGACACGGUCCAGACUCCUACGGGAGGCAGCAGUGGGGAAUAUUGCACAAUGGGCGCAAGCCUGAUGCAGCCAUGCCGCGUGUAUGAAGAAGGCCUUCGGGUUGUAAAGUACU
rnacentral:rRNA from 1 species